rnacentral:misc_RNA from 1 species
UUAACCAAUCAAAACACACGGCUCUUGUUGGGCCCCCUAGCUCACUAAGCAAAACACUCGUUUCGACAAUGGACGAUUCUGAAAUGGGUAAACAGUGAUUUACGAAGUUGACAUCGUAUCUGGAUCCAUGGAAGGUGUACUUUGGAAUUAACAAGUGACAAUGUCUGCACGAGUCAAGGACGCAAGGCAGGACAGCAGCAAUGCUCGUUAUAACGUGGGAGUGAUAGGGGAAGUCGGGCAACGGCAAGUCGAGUUUCAUCAAUGCCUAUUUUGGUUUACCACCCAAGGAGGAAUACGCAGCCAAAACUGACGUGGUGGAGUGUACACCUGAGAAACACCGAUAUCACCUACCCGGAUCAGAUGUUGCCCUAUAGGAUGUACCCGGAUAUGACACCCAAAACGUCCCAUUUGGACAGGAAUAUCUGAAGAAGAUUGACUUUGCAAGUUAUGAUUUCUACGUGCAUGUAUCAUGCACGAAAAUUGAAGACACUGAACUUUGUCUUCACAACGCUAUCGCUAAGCAAGAGAAAUGUUAUUUCUACGUGAGGACGAAGAUUGACCGUGAACUUAAAAAUCAGAAAAAGGCCCACCCAAGAACAUUCAAUGCAGACAAUGAGAAAAAGGCCAUCCUGAAGAAGAUUGGAGGCUGUUUCCCUGACGUUCCCGUCUUCUUGGUCAACUGUCUGGACCCUGACAGCCAUGACUUCCCUAUCCUCAGGAGUCUUAUGUCAGAUGGUGCUUACAUGUCCCAAGCGUCUGACCGAGACACCGUCAGACGGAAGCUGUACACGACUGGUCGAGCAACGAAACCUUUCCUAGAAAGGUUCUGUGUACUGCAAUAAUGGACGUUCUGUACGCUGCUUCCACCUAGAUGUAUUGUGCACUUAAAACUAUACAUCCAAUUGCAAGGUCCC